UCAAGCGAAUAAGCGCACACGGUGGAUGCCUUGGCGGUCAGAGGCGAUGAAGGACGUGGCAGCCUGCGAAAAGUAUCGGGGAGCUGGCAACAAGCUUUGAUCCGGUAAUGUCCGAAUGGGGAAACCCACCCGCUUGCGGGUAUCCUGCAGUGAAUACAUAGCUGCUGGAAGCGAACCUGGUGAACUGAAAUAUCUAAGUAACCAGAGGAAAAGAAAUCAACCGAGAUUCCGUAAGUAGCGACGAGCGAACGCGGACUAGCCCUUAAGCUGAUUUGGUUCUAGGAAAACGCUCUGGAAAGAGCGGCCAUAGAAGGUGAUAGCCCUGUAUCUGAAAGGGCCAUUUCAGUGAAGACGAGUAGGGCGGGGCACGUGAAACCCUGUCUGAACAUGGGGGGACCAUCCUCCAAGGCUAAAUACUACUGACCGACCGAUAGUGAACCAGUACCGUGAGGGAAAGGCGAAAAGAACCCCGGAGAGGGGAGUGAAAUAGAACCUGAAACCGUGUGCGUACAAGCAGUAGGAGCUCCGCAAGGAGUGACUGCGUACCUUUUGUAUAAUGGGUCAGCGACUUACUGUUCGUGGCAAGCUUAACCGUAUAGGGGAGGCGAAGGGAAACCGAGUCUGAUAAGGGCGCAUAGUCGCGGGCAGUAGACCCGAAACCGGGUGAUCUAGUCAUGCCCAGGGUGAAGGUGCGGUAACACGCACUGGAGGCCCGAACCCACUCCCGUUGCAAAGGUAGGGGAUGAGGUGUGAUUAGGAGUGAAAAGCUAAUCGAACCCGGAGAUAGCUGGUUCUCCUCGAAAGCUAUUUAGGUAGCGCCUCAUAUGUAUCCUCUCGGGGGUAGAGCACUGUUAUGGCUAGGGGGUCAUCGCGACUUACCAAACCAUUGCAAACUCCGAAUACCGAGACGGACUGUAUGGGAGACACACGGCGGGUGCUAACGUCCGUCGUGAAAAGGGAAACAACCCAGACCCACAGCUAAGGUCCCAAAUUUUGUGCUAAGUGGAAAACCAUGUGGAAAGGCACAGACAGCCAGGAGGUUGGCUUAGAAGCAGCCACCCUUUAAAGAAAGCGUAAUAGCUCACUGGUCGAGUCGGUCUGCGGGGAAGAUUUAACGGGGCUAAGCACAGAACCGAAGCUUGGGGUGCAUAACUUUGUUAUGCGCGGUAGAGGAGCGUUCCGUAAGCCGUUGAAGGUGGAUUGAGAAGUCUGCUGGAGGUAUCGGAAGUGCGAAUGCUGACAUGAGUAACGAUAAUGCGGGUGAAAAACCCGCACGCCGAAAGCCCAAGGUUUCCUUGCGCAACGUUAAUCGGCGCAGGGUGAGUCGGCCCCUAAGGCGAGGACGAAAGUCGUAGUCGAUGGGAAGCAGGUUAAUAUUCCUGCACCUCGCGUAAGUGCGAUGGAGGGACGGAGAAGGUUAGGUGUACCAGGCGUUGGUUGUCCUGGGGAAAGGCGGUAGGUUUGGAUCUUUGGCAAAUCCGGGAUCCUCUAAGACCGAGCACCGAGACGAGCCUUUAUGGCGAAGUCACUGAUACCACGCUUCCAGGAAAAGCUCCUAAGCUUCAGCUUACGCAGACCGUACCGUAAACCGACACAGGUGGGUAGGAUGAGAAUUCUCAGGCGCUUGAGAGAACUCGGGUGAAGGAACUAGGCAACAUGGCACCGUAACUUCGGGAGAAGGUGCACCCUUUUUGGUGGCUCGUGCGAGCUAUAGCUGAAGAGGGUCGCAGUAACCAGGCCGCUGCGACUGUUUAUCAAAAACACAGCACUCUGCAAACACGAAAGUGGACGUAUAGGGUGUGACGCCUGCCCGGUGCUGGAAGGUUAAUUGAUGGGGUCAGCCGCAAGGCGAAGCUCUUGAUCGAAGCCCCAGUAAACGGCGGCCGUAACUAUAACGGUCCUAAGGUAGCGAAAUUCCUUGUCGGGUAAGUUCCGACCUGCACGAAUGGCGUAACGACAGCGGCGCUGUCUCCACCCGAGACUCAGUGAAAUUGAAAUCGCUGUGAAGAUGCAGCGUUCCCGUGGCAAGACGGAAAGACCCCGUGAACCUUUACUAUAGCUUUACACUGAACGUUGAGUUCGUCUGUGUAGGAUAGGUGGGAGGCUAUGAAACCAUGGCGCUAGCUGUGGCGGAGCCAUCCUUGAAAUACCACCCUGUCGUGCUUGACGUUCUAACCUGGGCCCAUUAUCUGGGUCGGGGACCGUGUAUGGUGGGUAGUUUGACUGGGGCGGUCUCCUCCUAAAGAGUAACGGAGGAGCUCGAAGGUACGCUCAGCGCGGUCGGACAUCGCGCACUGUGUGCAAAGGCAUAAGCGUGCUUGACUGCAAGAUCGACGGAUCAAGCAGGUAGGAAACUAGGACAUAGUGAUCCGGUGGUUCUGUAUGGAAGGGCCAUCGCUCAACGGAUAAAAGGUACUCNGGGGAUAACAGGCUGAUACCGCCCAAGAGUUCAUAUCGACGGCGGUGUUUGGCACCUCGAUGUCGGCUCAUCACAUCCUGGGGCUGUAGCCGGUCCCAAGGGUAUGGCUGUUCGCCAUUUAAAGUGGUACGUGAGCUGGGUUCAAAACGUCGUGAGACAGUUUGGUCCCUAUCUGCCGUGGGCGUUGGAGAUUUGANNGGGGCUGCUCCUAGUACGAGAGGACCGGAGUGGACGAACCUCUGGUGUUCCGGUUGUCACGCCAGUGGCAUUGCCGGGUAGCUAUGUUCGGAAGCGAUAACCGCUGAAAGCAUCUAAGCGGGAAGCGCGCCUCAAGAUGAGAUCUCCCGGGGCACAAGCCCCCUGAAGGAACCAUGUAGACUACGUGGUUGAUAGGUCAGGUGUGUAAGUACAGCAAUGUAUUGAGCUAACUGAUACUAAUGAUCCGUGCGGCUUGACCAU
rnacentral:rRNA from 1 species